rnacentral:rRNA from 1 species
CCUACGGGAGGCAGCAGUGGGGAAUCUUGCACAAUGGGGGAAACCCUGAUGCAGCGACGCCGCGUGAGCGAUGAAGCCCUUCGGGGUGUAAAGCUCUUUCGACGGGGACGAUGGUGACGGUACCCGGAGAAGAAGCUGCGGCUAGCUACGUGCCAGCAGCCGCGGUAAUACGUAGGCAGCGAGCGUUGUUCGGAGUUACUGGGCGUAAAGAGUAUGUAGGCGGCCUUUCAAGUCUGGUGUGAAAUCUCCCGGCUCAACUGGGAGGGAGCGCCGGAAACUGGGGGGCUGGAGCGUGGGAGAGGAAAGCGGAAUUCCGGGUGUAGCGGUAAAAUGCGUAGAUAUCAGGAGGAACACCCGUGGCGAAGGCGGCUUCCUGGCCAUGGCCUGACGCUGAGGUGCGAAAGCAGGGGGAGCGAACGGGAUUAGAUACCCCGGUAGU